rnacentral:rRNA from 1 species
GACGAACGCUGGCGGCGUGCUUAACACAUGCAAGUCGAACGGAAAGGCCCUGCUUGUGUGGGGUGCUCGAGUGGCGAACGGGUGAGUAACACGUGAGUAACCUGCCCUUGACUUUGGGAUAACUUCAGGAAACUGGGGCUAAUACCGGAUAGGAGCUCCUGCUGCAUGGUGGGGGUUGGAAAGUUUUGGCGGUUGGGGAUGGACUCGCGGCUUAUCAGCUUGUUGGUGGGGUAGUGGCUUACCAAGGCUGUGACGGGUAGCCGGCCUGAGAGGGUGACCGGCCACAUUGGGACUGAGAUACGGCCCAGACUCCUACGGGAGGCAGCAGUGGGGAAUAUUGCACAAUGGGCGGAAGCCUGAUGCAGCAACGCCGCGUGCGGGAUGACGGCCUUCGGGUUGUAAACCGCUUUCGCCUGUGACGAAGCGUGAGUGACGGUACUGGGUAAAGAAGCACCGGCUAACUACGUG